rnacentral:rRNA from 1 species
UACGUAGGGUGCGAGCGUUAAUCGGAAUUACUGGGCGUAAAGCGUGCGCAGGCGGCGCGUUAAGACAGGUGUGAAAGCCCCGAGCUUAACUUGGGAAUUGCGCUUGUGACUGGCGUGCUGGAGUGUGGCAGAGGGAGGUGGAAUUCCACGUGUAGCAGUGAAAUGCGUAGAUAUGCGGAGGAACACCGAUAGCGAAGGCAGCCCCCUGGGCCGACACUGACGCUCAUGCACGAAAGCGUGGGGAGCAAACAGG